rnacentral:rRNA from 1 species
AUUGAACGCUGGCGGCAGGCUUAACACAUGCAAGUCGAGCGGUAGCACAGGGUAGCUUGCUCCCUGGGUGACGAGCGGCGGACGGGUGAGUAAUGUCUGGGAAACUGCCUGAUGGAGGGGGAUAACUACUGGAAACGGUAGCUAAUACCGCAUAACGUCGCAAGACCAAAGAGGGGGACCUUCGGGCCUCUUGCCAUCAGAUGUGCCCAGAUGGGAUUAGCUAGUAGGUGGGGUAAUGGCUCACCUAGGCGACGAUCCCUAGCUGGUCUGAGAGGAUGACCAGCCACACUGGAACUGAGACACGGUCCAGACUCCUACGGGAGGCAGCAGUGGGGAAUAUUGCACAAUGGGCGCAAGCCUGAUGCAGCCAUGCCGCGUGUGUGAAGAAGGCCUUCGGGUUGUAAAGCACUUUCAGCGAGGAGGAAGGUGGUGAGCUUAAUACGUUCAUCAAUUGACGUUACUCGCAGAAGAAGCACCGGCUAACUCCGUG